ACGCUGGAGGCGUGCUUACACAUGCAAGUCGAACGAUGAAGUGGAGCUUGCUCCACGGAUUAGUGGCGAACGGGUGAGUAACACGUGAAUAACCUGCCCUCAAUUUCGGAAUAACCCAGGGAAACCUGGGCUAAUACCGGAUACGUAAACCUGUGGCAUCACAUGGUUUUGGAAAGUUUUUCGAUUGAGGAUGGAUUCGCGGCCUAUCAGCUUGUUGGUGAGGUAAUGGCUCACCAAGGCGACGACGGGUAGCCGGCCUGAGAGGGUGGACGGCCACACUGGGACUGAGACACGGCCCAGACUCCUACGGGAGGCAGCAGUGGGGAAUAUUGCGCAAUGGACGAAAGUCUGACGCAGCGACGCCUCGUGAGGGACGAAGGUCUUCGGAUUGUAAACCUCUUUCAGCAGGGACGAAGCGAAAGUGACGGUACCUGCAGAAGAAGCACCGGCUAACUAUGUGCCAGCAGCCGCGGUAAUACAUAGGGUGCAAGCGUUGUCCGGAUUUAUUGGGCGUAAAGAGUUCGUAGGCGGUUUUUCGCGUCGGAUGUGAAAACUCAGGGCUCAACCCUGAGCCUGCAUUCGAUACGGGAAGACUCGAGGACGGCAGGGGAGACUGGAACUUCUGGUGUAGCGGUGGAAU
rnacentral:rRNA from 1 species